AACGGCCGCGGUAUCCUAACCGUGCGAAGGUAGCGUAAUCACUUGUUCUUUAAAUGAGGACUAGUAUGAAUGGCACCACGAGGGUUAAACUGUCUCCUUUUUUUAAUCAGUGAAACUAAUCUCCCCGUGAAGAAGCGGGGAUUCUUUUAUAAGACGAGAAGACCCUAUGGAGCUUUAAACAAGUUAACACCUGCUACUAAUCNNUUCACUUUCCUGAACCACCACAUUAAGUAUAGCACCUCUGAUUAACAGUUUUCGAUUGGGGUGAUCAUGGAGCAAAAAUCAACCUCCACGACGAAAAGGAACACCUCCUUGAGCCAAAAGCUACAACUUGAAGCACUAAAAAACUAACGCACUUUGACCCAAUUCUUUGAGCAACGAACCAAGUUACCCUAGGGAUAACAGCGCAAUCCACUUUAAGAGCUCCUAUCGACAAGUGGGUUUACGACCUCGAUGUUGGAUCAGGGUAUCCCAGUGGUGCAGCCGCUACUAAAGGUUCGUUUGUUCAACGAUUAAAACCCUACGUGAUCUGAGUUCAGACCGGAGUAAUCCAGGUCAGUUUCUAUCUAUAAAGGGCUUUUUCUAGUACGAAAGGACCGAAAAAGCAUGGCCUAUAACCCAUCAAGCCAUAUAAAUUACUAUUGUUCCCAACUUAAAUAGAAGUAAACCUACUACUUAUCUCAAUAAAAGAGAAGUUAACGUAGCAUAACCUGGCCUUGCAG
rnacentral:rRNA from 1 species